UACGGGGGGGGCAAGCGUUGUUCGGAAUUACUGGGCGUAAAGGGCUCGUAGGCGGCCAACUAAGUCAGACGUGAAAUCCCCAGGCUUAACCUGGGAACUGCGUCUGAUACUGGAUGGCUUGAAUUCGGGAGAGGGAUGCAGAAUUCCAGGUGUAGCGGUGAAAUGCGUAGAUAUCUGGAGGAAUACCGGUGGCGAAGGCGGCAUCCUGGACCGAGAUUGACGCUGAGGAGCGAAAGCUAGGGGAGCAAACGGG
rnacentral:rRNA from 1 species